GUCAAAGAACAAAAUUAUAAUAGCCUUUCAAGACGUCAUAAUUAUUUGGACUAGUUGUAAACAUGCAACCUGUUCUUCGGACUGUCAAGAUAUUCUGUGAUUGUAAACAAACACACGAUUGUCGAAGCGAGUGAGAUAUAAAGAUAUUCUAUUACACAUGUGUUUUUUUUUGUUUUUUUUUGUAUCAGUAGUAUGUCGAAGACCUAAAACAUAAGUUCGAAAAGCAGCGAAAUUUGCUCUAAGACUAGGAUUAAAAGUGAACUAAGCGGACGUCUUCUAUUGUGUAAACCAGAAAUAAAUUGGCUAAAGUUAAGCUAAGAUAUAUUAA
rnacentral:lncRNA from 1 species